ACGUAUAGAUAGGGAUAAACGAUAAGAUGUAAUUUAUGUGAAGACUCUUUGUAUUCGAAGUAUCUUAGACUUUCUAUUUAUAUAUUUAUGCGAGAUUUGGCUCCAUCCAUAUUAAAUUUCACUUAUAUUCACACGAGUUCGUUCGAUGCAUUGAUUUCAUGCAGACUUCUCAGGACCAGGAAAUGAGUGUUGCAUACAAGAAAUUUCCUAUGAUAAUCUACAUUAUUUAGUCAUCGACAUCUACGGAACCGACAUGGCUGCCUUGUUGGAUGCAAUUGGAAAGAUUCGCAUUGCAUAUAUGAGACCAGCUAGCUUUGGUUUCAUCUGAAUCAACGGGCAGAACAGGCAGAUGUCUAGAUCUACGCAAACAUUACUUGUGCUGCACCAUCUUGUUCACAGUGUUUGCAGUCACAUAAAGUGAUCAAUCAUUACG